rnacentral:ncRNA from 1 species
GUGUUCGUAGAAAGGAGAGAUGGUUGGAAUCUCCCCAAACAAGGAUAGGGAAGACUUCGGGCUUUACCUGACAACAAAAAUUGUCUACUUUUCAUUCUCGGUAUCCAACAUUGAAAUUGG